rnacentral:rRNA from 1 species
AUUGAACGCUGGCGGCAGGCCUAACACAUGCAAGUCGAACGAGUGGCGGACGGGUGAGUAAUGUCUGGGAACCUGCCUGAUGGAGGGGGAUACCUAUUGGAACCGUUAGUUAUUCCCGCAUACCAUCGGAUGUGCCCAGAUGGGAUUAGCUGGUUGGUGGGGUAACGGCUCACCAAGGCGACGAUCCCGAGCUGGUCUGAGAGGAUGACCAGCCACACUGGAACUGAGACACGGUCCAGACUCCUACGGGAGGCAGCAGUGGGGAAUAUUGCACAAUGGGCGCAAGCCUGAUGCAGCCAUGCCGCGUGUAUGAAGAAGGCCUUCGGGUUGUAAAGUACUUUCAGCGGGGAGGCGUUACCCGCAGAAGAAGCACCGGCUAACUCCGUGCCAGCAGCCGCGGUAAUUC